CAGGGAGUCUUGCUUGCUUGUGCCCCAACAUCUGGGGAGGGACAGUGUGAAAGGUUCUGCUCACAGAGGACAGAAGUUUUCCACUGCCUCCAGGGAUGUUUGUACUCCUCCCACAGUAUAGACAGAGUGGGUCCAGCAGUAAAACCCACUUGUUCUCCAGUCCUCUCUCUGGUGGUCGGAGUUCACAUGGCUCUGCAGUGCAUGGCACGUUCAUUGCCUUCCCAUUGGUGGGAGAUGUAAAGUGGGCCAACAUGCAAAAAGGGAUCUCGUUUUUACGGACAGAAGAGGGAAACAGUUUUUUGAGGUCUUUAGGAAUUCAAAGUCUGCUGUCAGCUUGCCUUUCUCUACGACCAAGUGUUUUCUUCCCUUGGGAAAGGAGCCCCAGUUCCAUCAGCUGGCAGCCUGCCAUCAGUAGAGGUGACUUCUGGACUACGAGGGUGCUCUCCUGCUUGGUAACCAGUUGCUCUUGUCAAUGAAGUGCUGUCCAGCAGAUCUGAUGGAGCAGGUGAAACAAGGGAUGCCAAGAGAAGGUGAGAGGGGAGCUGACAGUGUGCAAGAGAAGAAAGGACUUGGGUAUGAUGUGAUGAUUAGCAGAAUUUUGGGGACACAAUGAGUGAUACUGCUAUUUGCUCAGCUUAUAAAGAAACACUGUUUACAUUUUAAUUUUAGGUUAUUUUCUCACCUCCUUGUAUGAUUUUUUUAAGUCUUUCAUCUGCAGCAAAUGUACUAAAAUGGUACUCGUCAUCGAAUGGACUUUGUUCCAGCCUAGGGUAAGGUGGGGAUGAGCUCAUUCUUCUGAGGCAUUACAGUCGUUGUCUUGGUGUGUUUAAGGAACUAUGUAAUCUUCCAAAAGCUUCAGUCUAGACCUGGACUUUCACUGCAGCAAUGAAGAACAGGAGCUAUAGAAACUGGAGAGAGUGAGUAAUGAGCUUACUGCAGUCCUGUAUCCCUGAGAUGUGUAACUGGAAGCAAUGUAAGUGGAGUAUUUCUAAACCAGGAUACCAGAAGAAAAAGAGAAACCAUUUUUAAAACAGGUGGGAGCUGUCUUUGGAAGGUGUUCAUACUGCUGUCACUACCUCUAGUGAUCGGUGAUAUCCAUUAAAUGAAACAAAAAACCCAAAUGUUUGUGGAUUUUCAUUGUAUCCUUGUCUUGUGACGCCUUCAGAGGCCACAGUUCUGGGAAGCCGAGGAAACAGCAUCAUCAGCUGUGAAUGUAAGCAGAGAUGCACUGCAGCAGAAGUAGAAUUGUUUGCAUUCCAUCUGCUUCUGUCAACCUAGAGAGAUUUUCUGAAGUGAAAAAGACACAGGCUUUAUCCAUGGGAUUGCCCAUGGCUUUGGGAACAUUAUGUAUACUGCAU
rnacentral:lncRNA from 1 species